rnacentral:tRNA from 1 species
CAAGGUGUAGCUCAGGCGAGGAGAGCGGCUGGUUUGGAACCAGCAGGCCGCCGGUUCGAGUCCGGCCACCUUGACCA